CGGGCUGCUUUACCCGGCCUGGUUGGGUGCCGCAGCCGCUGGCUGCUGGGGCUGGGGCAGCAGUUGGGUGCAGAUCCCCGAAGCCGCGCUGCUCGUGCUUGCCACCAUCUGCCUCGCGCACGCGCUCACUGUCCUCUCGGGGCAUUGGUCUGUGCACGCGCAUUGCGCGCUCACCUGCACCCCGGAGUACGACCCCAGCAAAGCGACCUUUGUGAAGGUGGUGCCAACCCCCAACAAUGGCUCCACGGAGCUCGUGGCCCUGCACCGCAAUGAGGGGCCUCUGUGGCAAACACACCUUCUACCGCAGGGCGAAGACGGGCUUGAGG
rnacentral:lncRNA from 1 species